AUGCAAUGUGCUCUAAUGUUAUCAUUCCCAAACUCAGUCAGGCUCUGCAGAUAGAGUUUCUACCUCUCUGUUAAUCGAAUAUGUACGUGCUGAUUUUUCUGCAUGUUACCCUGAUGCGAAGUUGUUUGAUGUGGUCUCGUUCUAAUGAUAUCACUUUCAAACCCAAUGAGGCUCUGCAGAUGGAGCUGAUUGGAAAAGCCAAUGUGUGAGACC